CUUCAUGCGCGUGCUCAACAGGAAGCCUCUUUCAAUACCACAGCACUUGAAGAUGCUGAAAUUGAGGUCCGUCUACAUGCACAGUGUACUGGUCACGGUCUUCAAUAUGCAGAUUGGCAUUGGGCUUGUAAUUGUUGAAAUGGUAAACUGUUACAUUCAUUGUGUGUUAAAACCACUACAUCUGCCCGUCCACCGGCGGCCGGCCCAGCACCUGGGCAAUAAAUACACCCAUCAAAUACAAAGCUCUGAAUCUCAAGGAAGAAUCGGCAUCAGAAAAUGCUACACGAAAUAUCUUUGGCUGGC
rnacentral:sRNA from 1 species